GAAGCCUGCCAGACCGCCGCUGGUGCAAUCUGGGAAACCAGGCACUGGAGGAACGUCCGGACUGCACAGGACAGCGUAGGAGGUAACACCUCUCCACCGUGAGGUGAGGAUUAGAGCAACAGAGACGAGCCGAUUCAGUUCGGGUGAAACGGGCAAUCUCUACGCGCAGCAAUACCAAGUAGGCCAGCACCGGGCGAAAGCCUAUCUUGUGGUUCCGCAAGAAUUGCUGGCGGGUAGGUAGCACCGAGCCGGGUGGGCGACCCCCGGCCCAGAUUAAUGGCGGUCACACCAGGCCAACCUGCUUUCGGGCAGGGAAGCCUGGCGCACAGAAUCCGGCUUAUCGGCGGGCUUCACAC
rnacentral:RNase_P_RNA from 1 species